AUAAGGUUAAGUUAAUAAGGGCGCACGGUGGAUGCCUUGGCACUAGGAGCCGACGAAGGACGUGACAAACGACGAUAUGCCUUGGGUAGCUGUAAGUAAGCGAUGAUCCAGGGAUUUCCGAAUGGGGGAACCCAACAGGUAAUACCUGUUACCCACAUCUGUUAAGGAUGUGAGGAGGAAGACGCAGUGAACUGAAACAUCUAAGUAG
rnacentral:rRNA from 1 species